UACGUAGGGUGCAAGCGUAUCGGAAUUCACUGGGCGUAAAGCGUGCGCAGGCGGUCGAUCAAGUCGAGUGUGAAAGCCCCCGGCUCCAACUGGGGAGGGUCAUUCGAUACUGAUCGACUCGAAGGCAGGAGAGGGUAGUGGAAUUCCCGGUGUAGUGGUGAAAUGCGUAGAUAUCGGGAGGAACACCAGUGGCGAAGGCGACUACCUGGCCUGUUCUUGACGCUGAGGCGCGAAAGCUAGGG
rnacentral:rRNA from 1 species